AACGGUGGUGAUAAAAAGAGAGAAAAGUCAGAAAACCUAAAAUCUCAAAUCGCAGACACUCUCAUCUCUCUUCCUUCUCAAGCGUCCGAUCAAUCUCUUCCUUGCCCCGAUCUCUCUUCCCAGCUAUCCUUCCUUCCUUCCUCCAAUCAACACCUCUCUAUCUCACUCCCGCCCUUUUUUCGAAUUCUUCUGCCGGGUUUGUUUGUGUAUGUAGAUGGCGGAGUCGCAGCAGGCAAAGAGUCCCGGAGGAGGCGGCGGCGGUGAGAGCGGCGGAGACCAAAGCCCAAGGUCGUCGUCGUCGCACGUGCGGGAGCAAGACAGGUUUCUACCGAUUGCGAACAUAAGCCGAAUAAUGAAAAGAGGGCUCCCUGCUAACGGUAAGAUCGCCAAAGACGCCAAGGAGAUUGUCCAGGAAUGUGUCUCCGAGUUCAUCAGCUUCAUCACCUCCGAAGCGAGUGAUAAGUGCCAAAGAGAGAAACGGAAGACCAUCAAUGGAGAUGAUUUGCUUUGGGCUAUGGCCACUUUAGGUUUUGAAGACUACAUCGAUCCCCUCAAGGUUUACCUCACUAGAUACAGAGAGGUGAAAUCAAUCUUCUUCUGCUUAUUUACUACUCUUUCUAUUUUCAUCAUCAAGAGUGUGUUUUUUUGGAGUUCACUAACUUACUCUGUUUUUGCCCUUUGUUCCACUACUUGGAAAAUCUCAGAUGGAGGGUGACACAAAGGGAUCAGCCAAAGGCGGGGAUGCGAAUGCAAAGAGAGAUGGCCAAUCAAGCCAAAAUGGCCAGUUCUCGCAGCUUGCUCACCAAGCCUCUUUCUCACAAGCUCCUUACGGAAACUCUCAAGGUCAGCAUAUGAUGGUUCCAAUGCCGGGCACAGACUAGUAUGAUGGUGUUCCAAAAAGGCUCGUCUGUAUAUUAUUUGUGUGUCGUAAAAGGAUGUGUUUUUGCUAUGCAUAACUGUGACAAUAAUCAUCUCAUUGUUUGUUUGUUUGUUUUCCCUUUGGAUUGUUCUGAACAAGUUGAGAAAUUCAUAUUUAUAUUUGGUUUGUUCGAUUA